UUAUGAGUGUGAUAUUUUGUUUUCUUUGAUAAAUGCGGAGUUUAAGCGCAUAACAACCCUGCCCCUCCAAUCAAGAUUUCUCUCUCAGCUGGAUGUGCUAUCUGACAAACUUCUGAAGGUUUUUGGGAAGAGAGGAGGGCAGAUAGGCCAGCGUCUGAACUGUAUUAUGUCAAACAUGACUCAAGUUGAUGAUGUCAAUUUAGACCCGGAUUGUCUUUUCAAGGGGCUGUGUGUGCACCUCAAUGAGAAUCUAGAGUUUGUGGCAGAAGAUGAAGACGUCAUUCUGCGGUCCAUUCAGGGGAUUACAGUGGGACUUUAUGUUGUCAAACACAAUUCCACCAUGAGACCAGAGGACAG